UGGGGAAUUUUGGACAAUGGGGGAAACCCUGAUCCAGCCAUCCCGCGUGUGCGAUGAAGGCCUUCGGGUUGUAAAGCACUUUUGGCAGGAAAGAAACGUCAUGGGUUAAUACCCCGUGAAACUGACGGUACCUGCAGAAUAAGCACCGGCUAACUACGUGCCAGCAGCCGCGGUAAUACGUAGGGUGCAAGCGUUAAUCGGAAUUACUGGGCGUAAAGCGUGCGCAGGCGGUUCGGAAAGAAAGAUGUGAAAUCCCAGAGCUCAACUUUGGAACUGCAUUUUUAACUACCGGGCUAGAGUGUGGCAGAGGGAGGUGGAAUUCCGCGUGUAGCAGUGAAAUGCGUAGAUAUGCGGAGGAACACCGAUGGCGAAGGCAGCCUCCUGGGAUAACACUGACGCGCAUGCACGAAAGCGUGGGGAGCAAACAGG
rnacentral:rRNA from 1 species